GAUGAACGCUAGCGGCAGGCUUAAUACAUGCAAGUCGAGGGGCAGCAGGACUGUAGCAAUACAGUUGCUGGCGACCGGCAAACGGGUGCGGAACACGUACGCAAUCUACCCGAAACUGGGGCAUAGCCCGGGGAAACCCGGAUUAAUACCCCGUAACACUUUGAAGUGGGCUCAGAUUAUAGGUAAAGCUCCGGCGGUUUUGUAUGAGUGUGCGGCUGAUUAGGUAGUUGGAGGGGUAACGGCCCACCAAGCCUACGAUCAGUAACUGGUGUGAGAGCACGACCAGUCACACGGGCACUAAGACACGGGCCCGACUCCUACGGGAGGCAGCAGUAAGGAAUAUUGGUCAAUGGACGCAAGUCUGAACCAGCCAUGCCGCGUGGAGGAUGAAGGCCCUCUGGGUUGUAAACUUCUUUUAUAGGGGACGAAACCUCUUUUUCUUGAGAGACUGACGGUACCCUAGGAAUAAGCACCGGCUAACUCCGUGCCAGCAGCCGCAGUAACAC
rnacentral:rRNA from 1 species